AGUAUUUAAGGUGAUUGUAAGCCAGUGAGUAGGUCCAUCUAGCUGUAUGGAUCAGCGCGUGAUUGAGGAGAGACUUCUUGAGCUAAGUCCUGAGUCCAGCAUAGGAGACCACCAUUAGCAAGAUCACCUGGAAGGAUCGACAGUUUUUCCUCAAGCUGAACUACCAGAACCACCAAAACUUCUCACCUGCUACAACUCUGAGAACACUAAGUAUUAUCAGGGGAUGUUAAUGUCCAGCUCAGUGGUGUGUGGUUGUCCCAGCACUUGGUGUGUACAUAUGGGGCUCUGCCUCCUCUAUACCCCACCUAGCACCAACCCGAUGGUUUAACAUGAAAUGUGCCUCCUCUGGCCUUUACUAUUCUUCUGUGGUAUGGUCAGAGUGGAACUCCAGCCUGAUUUGCUGCCACUCAGAUCCCACCAGCCUCGCUCGGGGGAGGUCCUGGAUGAUUGGAAAAAGGCAGACAUAGUGUCCAUCUUUAAAAAGGGGAAGAAGGAGGAUCCAGGAAACUACAGACCAGUCAGCCUUACCUCAGUCCCUGGAAAAAAUCAUGGAGCAGGUCCUCAAGGAAUCCAUCUUGAAGCACCUGGAAGAGAAGAGCUUUUUGUGUCCGGCGUGGGACGCACCCUCACCAUCUGCUGCCUGCAUUGCUUCCCGUGUCUUUCCCGGUGCCGGCUUUUAUUCCAACCAUGCGGUGUCCUGGAAUGAUGUCCUCCACCUGUGCUAGCUCCAGCUGGAAAUAAGGGCAGCUCACAAACCUCAUGGGCGUUUCCUGUUGGCAUGGCUCAUCCAUCUCCCCAUGGCCUGAAAUUGGAAAGUUUGUCCUGGUUUCAGGGCUUUUCUUGUAGGGGCAGGUCACCCCCAUCCCCAGUCCUACUGCAGGGAGGGUCUCCUGUCCCCAGAUGCCUGGUACAGUGAGAUUGGACAAAAGUUCCCCACUCUGUCUUCUAUCACUUGAGCCCCAGAGAGCCAGCCAGCAUCUGACUUUUGAUGUUCAUUUGGAUUACAGGGAUCCAAACUCAAUAAAUUAUUUCUCAUUACACUGAA